UAGGGCUGGAAGUGAGCCGAGCAAAACCGAGCUAGACCAAGCUCAAGCUCGGCUCACGAAAAUUGAGCUUGACUCACGGCUCGGCUCAUUAACAAUUGAGCUUAUUUCUUAAGCUCAAGCUCAACUCAC